CCUACGGGAGGCAGCAGUAGGGAAUCUUCCACAAUGGGCGAAAGCCUGAUGGAGCAACGCCGCGUGGGUGAAGAAGGUCUUCGGAACGUAAAACUCUGUUGUCAGAGAAGAAAGUGCGUGUGAGUAACUGUUAACGUUCCGACGGUAACUAACCAGCAAGCCACGGCUAACUACGUGCCAGCAGCCGAGGUAAUACGGAGGUGGCAAGCGUUAUCGGUGUUUAUUGGGAGUAAAGGGAGCGAAGGCGGGCGUUUAAGUCUGAUGUGAAAGCCUUCGGCUUAAGCGGGGUAGUGCAUUGGAAACUGGGGGACUUGAGUGCAGAAGAGGUGAGUGGAACUCCAUGUGUAGCGGUGAAAUGCGUAGAUAUAUGGAAGAACACCAGUGGCGAAGGCGGCUCUCUGGUCUGUAACUGACGCUGAGGUUCGAAAGCGUGGGUAGCAAACAGGAUUAGAUACCCCAGUAGUC
rnacentral:rRNA from 1 species